UACAGAGGUCUCAAGCGUUGUCCGGAUUUAUUGGGCGUAAAGGGCGCGUAGGCGGCGGGGUAAGUCGGGUGUGAAAUCUCAGGGCUCAACCCUGAAACUGCACUUGAUACUGCUCUGCUUGAGGACUGGAGAGGAGACUGGAAUUCACGGUGUAGCAGUGAAAUGCGUAGAUAUCGUGAGGAAGACCAGUGGCGAAGGCGGGUCUCUGGACAGUUCCUGACGCUGAGGCGCGAAGGCCAGGGGAGCAAACGGG
rnacentral:rRNA from 1 species